rnacentral:lncRNA from 1 species
GUUUCAUUCAUUUAAUGGACUAUUUUAAAUCUGAGCUGGUAUUCUAACGUUUUCUCCCACUUCCCCACCACCACCAUCACGCACGCACCAUUGCCACGUCGCUCUUUAUGAAAUGUUGCAGCAGUUUUGUCUUCUUCGUAGGAGACCUAUAGAUAUGGUCUCCUCCGUUAAUGGAGGAGACUAGCAAGCAUAUCUCAUCUCCUUCAUUCCGAGGAGACGUUCGGGGGGACUUGUCAAUGCUGAGAUAAGGUACAAAACGGACUGAGGGAGGGAGCGAGCGAGAGAGAGAGAGAGAGAGAGAGAGAGAGUCGUCAUGGUCGUUGCUUGGAGUGGUGGAGGCACUUUGUUGUCAUCUCCGAAGUAGAGUAGCUGUUGCCGUGGAGGACACGGAGUGUGUUUUGGUAUGGUAGAGAGAGAGAGAGAGAGUCGGUUGUGUGGUCCGACGAGCAUGAAGGCCGACGCUAGGCUCAGCUAAGGUGGUGGGCGAAUGAUGUGGCGGCGGCAAUGUCGUGAGGUGCAAGCCAGAGAGUGGAGGUAAAGGUUGAGGAGAAGGAGAGAGAGAGAGAGAGAGAGGGGGGGCGGGGGGUAAAAUUCAAACGGCGCCUCAUUAAAUGGGUAAAUUAGAUGGGAACCAUGCAUAAAUUAGUUGUCCACACAGUUCAUUCAGAGGUGAUAAUGCAUAAGUCAUAUAUGUUAAUUACCUUUACACCCGCGGGAG